UAAUAAGUGUUUUAUGGCACUUUUUAAAUCCAUAUCCACCUUGUGUGCAAUGUCAGUCGAUCUUCUUCAUGGAGAUCGACCAAACAUCAACCUUUAUUUUUAACUCCUUGUCUGAAAAAUAUUAUGAAUAAACAAUUCAAAAUA
rnacentral:misc_RNA from 1 species